UACGGGGGGAGCAAGCGUUGUUCGGAUUUACUGGGCGUAAAGGGCGCGUAGGCGGCGCAACAAGUCACUUGUGAAAUCUCCGGGCUUAACCCGGAGCGGCCAAGUGAUACUGUCGUGCUAGAGUGCGGAAGGGGCUACUGGAAUUCUCGGUGUAGCGGUGAAAUGCGUAGAUAUCGGGAGGAACACCAGCGGCGAAGGCGGCGCUCUGGGCCGGAACUGACGCUGAGGGGCGAAAGCGUGGGGAGCAAACAGG
rnacentral:rRNA from 1 species